rnacentral:lncRNA from 1 species
AGUCAAAGUCUGCUGGGGAAAUCAGAGGAAGGAAUCAGAGAUCACCUUUCUUAUUUGGAGGGAAGAAGCUCUUGUUUCUAAGAGACUCAGAAAACCAGUCUUCUGUUCCCAAGAAACUGCGUAAAGGAUGUCCCUGAGCUGGUUCCUUGCCUUGGUUCUCCUGCUGGGGAGUGCAGACGCCCAGAACUGCAGCAGAAUGACCAUAGGAUUCAAUUUGGCCAAAGGUCGCCCAGCAUGCCAGUCCUCUAC